rnacentral:lncRNA from 1 species
GCUCACCAGCUCAGAUAAACAUUUGAGAGCCCCAGGCGGUGGAUUCGUAGACAUUUCCUCUCCCUGCUGCUUCCUUGUGCUGACGAGCACACCAAAUUCUCCCGGUGCAAAGAUUUAUUGCUUCUUGAUGGUGUUGUUACGUUCAAUAGGGAAACGGAUCCAGUGGGAGAGGCUUUCUGCGGGGAGGACCCAUUCAUGGAUGUUCCUGUGCCGAGCUGACAUCUGAGGAUUUACUGCCCUGCGAAACAACUGGGCUCUCACCAGCAAGAAUUAUUACCAGCCUCCGAGCCAAACAGCCUGGCUGUGCCCAGGGAGGACCGAGCAUGCCACCUCAGCAGGCCGCCCGUGCAGUGCCACUGUCCCCCUGGUGUCAGGCACUGUGUCAUCCCAGCACGGAAAAAUGUUCUCUUGAACCUCGUAGCGGGCAGCGUCACAGCUGGCUUGGUCUCCACGCCCCAGUGGGUUAUGAGCUUUGCACCAGGGAACAUGCACUCAUUGCAUGAGCAGCACGGAAAAGCGUUCCUGCCUUCCUCACCUUCACUCGCUUUCUGGGAAAAUGAAACAAAUCGACGUGGCUGUAGCAUCACAGUGACAAUUCCUUAGUCCCCAACCAGUCGGGGUAAAGCAAGAGCUUAAUCAAACGCAGCCCUACUGCCAGGAGUGUUUUACGUAGCUCCUGGAACCAGCACCCCCCCACCCUGCCUCAGGCAGGAGGACACCCCUGGGGCAGAUCCUCACCCCAUGCUACAACCCGUACCUUGGUUAACCCUCACUAAGCAGUCCUCACCAUACAGUCCAAGCUACGCUCCUGAUUUUUAAUAUGUUUCUUUGUGCUCUGUUAGGCAAAGUCUGGACAUUUUCUGCCAGUGAAAUUCUCACUGCUGGAGGCACUGGAAACACUGAUGUUGUUGACAACCCAAUAGUCAGCGUAACUGGCCUGACAUCACAGCGGCUGCACACCCAACACUACAGAGGUCAGAUGUUUAACAGCGAUGGCAGCUGUGCCAACUAUCAAGUGCAUCUUCGUUCUGAGAGGCAUCCUCCAGCAACGCCACAGCCAAGCGAGCUGCGCAGACAGCUGAGCAGCAAGUGCAGCACUUCCAUCUCCCUCAGCAAGCAGCAGAGCAGCACUUGGGUGCCUUCAAUCACUGUUGCACGGGAUCCAGUGAGGUAA